UACGUAGGGACCAAGCGUUGUUCGGAUUUACUGGGCGUAAAGAGCGCGCAGGCGGUCGUUCAAGUCGCGUGUGAAAGCCCCCGGCUCAACUGGGGAGGGUCACGCGAUACUGAUCGACUCGAAGGCAGGAGAGGGUAGUGGAAUUCCCGGUGUAGUGGUGAAAUGCGUAGAUAUCGGGAGGAACACCAGUGGCGAAGGCGACUACCUGGCCUGUUCUUGACGCUGAGGCGCGAAAGCUAGGGGGGCAAACGGG
rnacentral:rRNA from 1 species